rnacentral:sRNA from 1 species
AAAUUCAUGCUGCUGCAUUCAGCUGGAAUAUCAUAAUGCAUGAAGGCAGCUGGGGCAUAUCUCAUACACGUGUGCCAACAGAAUCUCGGCCAGGUCAUGUAGCUCUGAUAGCUGGGUUUUAUGAAGAUGUCAGUGCAGUUGCCAAAGGAUGGAAGGAAAAUCCUGUAGAGUUUGAUUCUCUUUUUAAUGAAAGUAAAUACACAUGGAGCUGGGGAAGCCCAGAUAUCCUGCCUAUGUUUGCCAAAGGUGCUAGUGGAGACCACGUUUAUACAUAUAGUUAUGAUGCUAAAAGAGAGGAUUUUGGUGCUCAAGAUGCAACAAAACUGGAUACGUGGGUUUUUGAUAAUGUUAAGGACUUCUUUCAUCAUGCCAGAAACAACCAGUCUUUGUUUUCUAAAAUAAAUGAAGAGAAAAUAGUUUUUUUCUUACAUUUAUUAGGAAUAGAUACAAACGGACAUGCUCAUCGACCAUCCUCGAGAGACUACAAGGACAAUAUUAAAAAAGUUGAUGAUGGAGUUAAAGAAAUCGUGUCUAUGUUUAACCAUUUCUAUGGAAAUGAUGGGAAAACAACAUUUAUCUUUACC